AACGAACGCUGGCGGCAUGCCUAACACAUGCAAGUCGAACGAGACCUUCGGGUCUAGUGGCGCACGGGUGCGUAACGCGUGGGAACCUGCCCUUAGGUUCGGAAUAACUCCCCGAAAGGGGUGCUAAUACCGGAUAAUGUCUUCGGACCAAAGAUUUAUCGCCUUUGGAUGGGCCCGCGUUGGAUUAGCUAGUUGGUAGGGUAAAAGACUACCAAGGCGACGAUCCAUAGCUGGUCUGAGAGGCUGAUCAGCCACACUGGGACUGAGACACGGCCCAGACUCCUACGGGAGGCAGCAGUGGGGAAUAUUGGACAAUGGGCGAAAGCCUGAUCCAGCAAUGCCGCGUGAGUGAUGAAGGCCUUAGGGUUGUAAAGCUCUUUUACCCGGGAUGAUAAUGACAGUACCGGGAGAAUAAGCUCCGGCUAACUCCGUG
rnacentral:rRNA from 1 species